GCAUGAACAAAUACUGUGUUCUUUUUUAUCAGUUGUUUACAUAGCCAGACAUCAUGCAAAAAAAUAAAAAAUAAAGCAUUCUUCCCUAUAGAGUGGUUACCAUGGCAUGCUAAGCUUUUCCAUAUCAUUAUUAAAGGGAAAUACAAAU